rnacentral:rRNA from 1 species
AAUAGAUACCCAGGUAGUCCACGCCGUAAACGAUGAAUGUUAGCCGUCGGGCAGUUUACUGUUCGGUGGCGCAGCUAACGCAUUAAACAUUCCGCCUGGGGAGUACGGUCGCAAGAUUAAAACUCAAAGGAAUUGACGGGGGCCCGCACAAGCGGUGGAGCAUGUGGCUUAAUUCGAAGCAACGCGAAGAACCUUACCAGGUCUUGACAUCCCACUGACCGCUAUGGAGACAUAGUUUUCCCUUCGGGGACAGUGGUGACAGGUGGUGCAUGGUUGUCGUCAGCUCGUGUCGUGAGAUGUUGGGUUAAGUCCCGCAACGAGCGCAACCCUUGAUCUUAGUUGCCAUCAUUUAGUUGGGCACUCUAAGGUGACUGCCGGUGACAAACCGGAGGAAGGUGGGGAUGACGUCAAAUCAUCAUGCCCCUUAUGACCUGGGCUACACACGUGCUACAAUGGACGGUACAAACGGUUGCCAACCCGCGAGGGGGAGCUAAUCCGAUAAAGCCAUUCUCAGUUCGGAUUGUAGGCUGCAACUCGCCUAC